AUGGGAAACCAAACGGAAACGGAGGCGGCACCGGUUCCGAGAGUGGCGGUAGUGGUGUGCCUGAUCAAAGGGAAAACGGUGCUGUUGGGACGGCGCCGUUCCUCCCUUGGCGACUCCACCUUUUCCCUCCCCGGUGGCCACCUCGAAUUCGGUACUUAAUUAUAUAUAGAAAAUUUCAUGGCCAUGGCAUGGGAUUUUGCUUCUCUUUUCUUUUUCCUUUUUGUUCAAAUUCCUAGUGAAUUAAUUUUGUGUUGUUGUGUUGGUUUAGGUGAGAGCUUUGAGGAGUGUGCAGCAAGAGAAGUGAAGGAGGAAUCUGGUUUGGAGAUUAAGAAUAUAGAGAUGAUGACGGUGAGAAACAACGUGUUCCUAGACGAGGCCAAGCCAUACCAGUACGUGGGGAUUUUCAUGAGGGCAGUUUUGGCAGAUGAUGAUCAAGUGCCCCAAAAUGUGGAGCCAAACUUCUGUGACGGAUGGGAUUGGUACGAAUGGGACGCUCUCCCCAAACCACUCUUUUGGCCUCUGGAGAAUGCGAUUCUGGCCGGAUUUAAUCCUUUUCAUGCAUGA
rnacentral:lncRNA from 1 species